CCACAUCAUGGAGCAUUUAGACGGCGUGAUCGACAAGCCCGAGGCGGAUAUGACCCCUCAAGAACUGCAGCUUCACUAUUUCAAAAUGCACGACUACGACGGUAAUAACCUGCUCGAUGGGCUUGAGCUCGCCACUGCUAUUACACAUGUACACAAGGAGGAGAAGGGUGAGAACAGCCCACCAAUGAAAGAGCAGGACCUCAUCAAUAUUAUCGAUCAGGUCCUUCGGGAUGAUGACAAAAACAAUGAUGGCUACAUCGACUAUGCCGAGUUUGCGAAAUCUCUUCAGUAACAGUCAGGGCAUUGGAGGUGUGUGCGUGCGUGCGUGUGUGCGUGUGUGUGUGUGUGUGUGUGUGUGUGUGUGUGUGUGUGUGUGUGUGUGUGUGUGUGUGUGUGUGUGUGUGUGGGGGGGUGUUAGGAGGUAGACAGGAAAAUAGGGUUUGGGAGUAUUACUAGUGGUGUGAUAUAGACAUGUUCUGAUGGUUCAAUUAUUUUUUGUUUUUAAUUUGCAAUUUCCACUCCUCUGAUUUCAGAUAUUUCACCUCUUCUUAUUUUACCUUUACUCUCAUUCCCUCCCUCCCUUUCCUUCCCUCUCUUCUCUCAAGCCUGGAGCUCUUUCCUUACAUUUUUUAACGGGUGUCUUCCCGAUCAGGCUUUUACUGCAGGAAAUUUCAGAACACCGCAUUGCGUGAGGCGACGAAGUGCUCCAUUCUUAGCUCAGCUCUGUGCAGCGCCAGGCAGCGUGGAGCUUGCCAACGAACGAGGAGGGGGCAGUGACUUGGGUUCGGUGCCAACAUUACAGCUUGGCAAAGGUUUUCUUUUUUCCCCCCUUUUUAACAAUAUAAAAAGGCAAAGCAGCCGCUCAGAAAAAAAGACGAAGAAAACACAGACAGAAUUACAGUCAGCAAUUUCUUUUGCUUCUCAGCUCUUGCUGGAGAUUAUAAUUAGAUCCUCAAGGUUUGAAUGUGUAUCAUUCUUGUUUCUUUUACCGAAGUGAGAAAAGCAGCUGCUGUCUUACGCUGCUUACUCAUUUUUUCUUUCCCUUGCCCUGCUUUCUGUGGUUUGCCUUGGUCAGAUACCUAUUUCUUCGAACCCUGCUCUUUGUAUCCCCAUCUGUAUCCCCUAUUCUGCUUUUUUUUGUUUUGUUUUGCCACCUCAGGUUUGCAGUAGGCCAGUGGUUUAAUGUGAAUAAUAUUUGUUGUACUUUACUGCCUUCCUGGUCCUAUUCUCCUCUAACAACAAGCCUUAUUUUUAGCCCAUAGUCAGGGUUUGGUCAUUUCCUGCUGCUGGUGCAAUGCAGAGCCUUAUGGAGCUGGGACGUGGUGGAGGCACUUCCAGUCCCCAGUGUGGGUAGAAGGCGUCCUUGUAAUCAUGUGCUGAUUGGAGAACUGUUUUGAAGCUUUUGAAACAAUGGUUAAAGCUAGGGUCGAGACAGCGACUUCUACGCGGAGCCUCAGUUACACAGUAGGUCAUGAGCAGACAUAUCAGUAAUUAAGACCCAGAGGAAAACACACUCACACUCUCACUUACUCCAAAAGAUAAAAAAAAGGUUACUCUGACCUUAAGAAAUAACCAAAAUCCACUUCUUUUUACACACUUCCUUCUCACAAACACUUUUCCUUUAUUCUCAUCAGGGUUGCAGUGGAUCCAGAGACUUUCCCAGGAACACCAGUUGUGGGGCAGAUUUCAGCCUGAAUAGAACACCAGUCCAUCACAGAAUAGUCCAUCCAGAAAAUGGUUUUGAAUUUAAAUUGUAAAACUAAAACUAAAACAUUCAAAACUCAUUUGGACGUAGGAGCAUGUUCAUUUUACACACUUUACCCAUGAGCUGAAAUCCUGGCAAGAGCAACCCAGACAUCUGUGUCUGAGUCUGAGAGUCCAACGAAUCACCCCUGGGAGAAAAAGAUGGUUUGGUCCUGGACCCCCUUCAGUGUUCUGGGAGAUUUAAGACAGGGAUGAAAGAAGCCAGGACCACUCAGCGGUCACCGCUUUUUGAUUCAUCCUUCUGGGAAAGAGAACAGCAAGAUAAAAAA